AGUUUUGCAGGUUUGCAUUUCAGC
rnacentral:miRNA from 1 species